rnacentral:rRNA from 1 species
CCCGACGGGGGGCAGCAGUGAGGAAUACUGGUCAAUGGGCGAGAGCCUGAACCAGCCAAGUCGCGUGAGGGAAGACGGCCCUACGGGUUGUAAACCUCUUUUGUCAGGGAGCAAGAACGGAUACGUGUAUCCGAGCGAGAGUACCUGAAGAAAAAGCAUAGGCUAACUCCGUGCCAGCAGCCGCGGGAAUACGGAGUAUGCGAGCGGUAUCCGGAUUUAUUGGGUUUAAAGGGUGCGUAGGCGGACUACCAAUUCAGCG